GCAUAUCAAUAAGCGGAGGAAAAGAAACCAACAGGGAUUACCUCAGUAACGGCGAGUGAAGCGGUAACAGCUCAAAUUUGAAAUCUGGUCCCCUCUGGGGGCCCGAGUUGUAAUUUGAAGAGGAUGCUUUUGGCGAGGCGCCUUCCGAGUGCCCUGGAACGGGACGCCACAGAGGGUGAGAGCCCCGUAUGGUAGGACGCCGAGCCUCUGUAAAGCUCCUUCGACGAGUCGAGUAGUUUGGGAAUGCUGCUCAAAAUGGGAGGUAAACCCCUUCUAAAGCUAAAUAUUGGCCAGAGACCGAUAGCGCACAAGUAGAGUGAUCGAAAGAUGAAAAGCACUUUGAAAAGAGAGUUAAACAGCACGUGAAAUUGUUGAAAGGGAAGCGCUUGCGACCAGACUUGCGCCCGUCGGAUCAACCGUCCCUCGUGGGCGGCGCACUCCGGCGGGCUCAGGCCAGCAUCAGUUUUCCUGGGGGGAGAAAGGCGGUGGGAAUGUAGCUCCUCGGAGUGUUAUAGCCCGCCGCGUAAUGCCCCCGGGGGGACUGAGGACCGCGCGAAAGCAAGGAUGCUGGCGUAAUGGUCGUCAGCGACCCGUCUUGAAACACGGACCAAGGAGUCGUCCUAAUAUGCGAGUGUACGGGUGUAAAACCCCUGCGCGUAAUGAAAGUGAACGGAGGUGAGAGCUUCGGCGCAUCAUCGACCGAUCCUGAUGUUCUCGGAUGGAUUUGAGUAAGAGCAUAUUGGGCCGGACCCGAAAGAAGGUGAACUAUGCCUGUAUAGGGUGAAGCCAGAGGAAACUCUGGUGGAGGCUCGCAGCGGUUCUGACGUGCAAAUCGAUCGUCAAAUAUGGGCAUGGGGGGCGAAAGACUAAUCGAACCUUCUAGUAGCUGGUUUCCGCCGAAGU
rnacentral:rRNA from 1 species